AUUGAACGCUGGCGGCAUGCCUUACACAUGCAAGUCGAACGGUAACAGGUCUUCGGAUGCUGACGAGUGGCGAACGGGUGAGUAAUACAUCGGAACGUGCCCGAUCGUGGGGGAUAACGGAGCGAAAGCUUUGCUAAUACCGCAUACGAUCUACGGAUGAAAGCAGGGGACCGCAAGGCCUUGCGCGGACGGAGCGGCCGAUGGCAGAUUAGGUAGUUGGUGGGAUAAAAGCUUACCAAGCCGACGAUCUGUAGCUGGUCUGAGAGGACGACCAGCCACACUGGGACUGAGACACGGCCCAGACUCCUACGGGAGGCAGCAGUGGGGAAUUUUGGACAAUGGGCGCAAGCCUGAUCCAGCCAUGCCGCGUGCAGGAUGAAGGCCUUCGGGUUGUAAACGUGCUUUUGUACGGAACGAAAAGACUCUUUCUAAUAAAGAGGGUCCAUGACGGUACCGUAAGAAUAAGCACCGGCUAACUACGUGCCAGCAGCCGCGGU
rnacentral:rRNA from 1 species